rnacentral:tRNA from 1 species
UCCCUGGUGGCUCAGAUGGUAAAGAAUCUGCUUGUAAUGCAGGAGUCCUAGGUUCAGUCCCUGGGUGGGGAA